AGAGUUUGAUCAUGGCUCAGGAUGAACGCUAGCGACAGGCCUAACACAUGCAAGUCGAGGGGCAUCGGGACGUAGCAAUACGUCGCCGGCGACCGGCGGAUGGGUGAGUAACGCGUAUGCAACCUACCCGUAGCAGGGGGAUAGCCCGUUGAAAGACGGAUUAAUACCCCGUAACACAGGGGCUCCGCAUGGAGAUUAUUGUUAAAGGGUCAUUUCUUUUAGAGGUGGUCCGGCUACGGAUGGGCAUGCGUUCCAUUAGGUAGUUGGUGUAGGUAACGGCUCACCAAGCCGACGAUGGAUAGGGGAACUGAGAGGUUGGUCCCCCACACUGGUACUGAGACACGGACCAGACUCCUACGGGAGGCAGCAGUGAGGAAUCUUGGUCAAUGGACGCAAGUCUGAACCAGCCAUGUCGCGUGAAGGAGGACGGCCCUAAGGGUUGUAAACUUCUUUUGCAGCGGAAUAAAGUUUGCCACGAGUUGGCGAUUUGCAAGUACGCUGCGAAUAAGGAUCGGCUAACUCCGUGCCAGCAGCCGCGGUAAUACGGAGGAUCCGGGCGUUAUCCGGAUUUAUUGGGUUUAAAGGGUGCGCAGGCGGGGAUUUAGGUCGGCGGUGAAAUUUCGGGGCUCAACCUCGAUAGUGCCGUUGAAACCGUUUCUCUUGAGUGCGGAUGAGGUAGGCGGAAUUUGUGGUGUAGCGGUGAAAUGCGUAGAUAUCACAAGGAACACCGAUUGCGGAGGCAGCUUACUAAACCGUUACUGACGCUCAUGCACGAAGGCGUGGGGAUCAAACAGGAUUAGAUACCCUGGUAGUCCACGCAGUAAACGAUGAUUACUUGCUGUUUGCGAUACACAGUAAGCGGCGUAGCGAAAGCGUUAAGUAAUCCACCUGGGGAGUACGUUCGCAAGAAUGAAACUCAAAGGAAUUGACGG
rnacentral:rRNA from 1 species